CUCAUUGUUCUCUUCGAUGCCAGCUUUUGAAACGCUGGGCUGCUGGCUCUGAUGAUCUCUUGCUUCUUCCCUGCAGGCUCUGUUCCCCCUAUUCUUAGUUGGGCCGUUGCUAUGGGUUACGAGAUCAAGGCCGGCUGGCUUCUCUACCUGACAAACAGCCCCCGGCGGAGCUCGGGAGCAUGGAGGGCGCCGGGAACACACAGACUCCCAGGGAGUGGGGGGAGGAGGGAGAGAGCGAGCUGCUGAGCAAGCGCCUUGCACACGACCGCAGUCAGUGUGGACUUGCAGCUGCAGGAAAAAGUCCAGCCUGUGGGGUGGAGUGGGGGGUGGGGGGGAAGAGUGGAUCAAGGCCCUGAGGGAAACGGCGUUUCAAAGAGGCAAACUCCUGGAUUGCAUCAGCCACAGAGUAUUUAGUAUGUCCAGAUACACAUGCCUCAAUCUCUUCUGGACUCAGCUGGGUUUGUACAAAGAGAUGAAGUCUACUGUCUGAAAGCAGUACUGGAUUCUGGAGGAUCCUAUGAAUAAAAACAAAUCAGAAAUCUGAACAGGCUUUUAAGAUUUCCCCCUCAAUAUUGCAUUGCUUUUUUGGUUAUCUGUAAUUUAUGCCCAAAUGCAGUUUUUAGUGCAAUAUAUAUAUACUAAUGUGAUUAAACAUGUGUUAUCUUUAUUAAAUUUAUUUGGAAUUUUAGGUAAGUAAAAACAUUAAGGUAAUAGUUAAGAACAUCUGUUAUAAGAAUAAUUCCAAGGGCAUUUUUUCCCAUUUAACCAUCUGUUACUACCAUGUGGAUCAAUUACUUUUUGGGGGGCUGGGGUGAAGCGAGGGGGCAGGGAUAAGCAUACACAUAAGAGCUGAAUUACAAUCGAUAACCUAGUAGUCUUUCUAAAAAUUACAUCACUGAAGAAGGCACUACAAAAGUUGUAGACCGUCACUUCAAAUGCCAAUUUUAAAUAUAAUUUAUUUACCCGGGCAAACUCAAAUUAUGUAUUUUUACAGUUGUGAAGAAGUUUCAUGUCAUGGACAUUAUUAUUAAUCAUUUUCAACAGGUCUGUAAAAUCAUUUUAGAGAACCAGAUGAUCAUUCAUGUCACUGUUUUGUUCUCUCAUGUGGCUUUAAAAUAAAAAUUGUUCAAUUUAGCAAAAAAA